rnacentral:rRNA from 1 species
UACGUAGGGUGCGAGCGUUAAUCGGAAUUACUGGGCGUAAAGCGUGCGCAGGCGGUGAUGUAAGACAGGUGUGAAAUCCCCGGGCUUAACUUGGGAACUGCAUUUGUGACUGCAUCGCUGGAGUGCGGCAGAGGGGGAUGGAAUUCCGCGUGUAGCAGUGAAAUGCGUAGAUAUGCGGAGGAACACCGAUGGCGAAGGCAAUCCCCUGGGCCUGCACUGACGCUCAUGCACGAAAGCGUGGGGAGCAAACAGG